rnacentral:rRNA from 1 species
UACGUAGGGACCGAGCGUUGUCCGGAUUCAUUGGGCGUAAAGAGCUCGUAGGCGGCCACUCAAGUCGAAUGUGAAACCUCGAGGCUUAACCUCGAGCCUGCAUUCGAUACUGGGCGGCUAGAGUCUGGUAGGGGGAUCUGGAAUUCCUGGUGUAGCGGUGGAAUGCGCAGAUAUCAGGAAGAACACCAACGGCGAAGGCAGCUCGCUGGGACGGUACUGACGCUGAGACGCGAAAGCGUGGGGAGCAAACAGG